rnacentral:antisense_RNA from 1 species
CUUGAUCGAGCCGAGCCGCAGCGGCGCGUCGUCCGGUCGGCCCUGUCCGUAGGUGGCGAGCAGGGCCUGGGCCUC